UACGGGGGGGGGCAAGCGUUGUUCGGAAUUACUGGGCGUAAAGGGUCCGUAGGUGGCUUGCUAAGUCAGACGUGAAAUCCCUCGGCUUAACCGGGGAACUGCGUCUGAGACUGGCGAGCUUGAGUGCAGGAGAGGAACGCGGAAUUCCAGGUGUAGCGGUGAAAUGCGUAGAUAUCUGGAGGAACACCGGUGGCGAAGGCGGCGUUCUGGACUGUAACUGACACUGAAAGACGAAAGCCAGGGGAGCAAAGCGGG
rnacentral:rRNA from 1 species